GGCAUAGGCUGUUAAUUCAGAAUGAUAAUUAAUCUUCGAUUCUCUCUUCCCUCUUGGCACCUCACUGUAACAAAACUGAAUCCGAAACGUAACCCACUCCCUCACACUCCUAAAGCAUCAAGCACACCUAAACUGAACUUCACCCACUCCACACCUUCGGCCAAAUCAACCAUGGUACAGAUUGCAUGUCAGUUCAAUGUGUUUAAUCAUUUCCACCAAGUCUGUGACGUUCCUAGGAGGGGGGAAUUACCAUCUAAAUUCCAUUGUUAUUCCCUCCCUCUUCCAGUCGUGCGUUCAUCAGCAAAGAGGUGGAGAGUUCAUCGCUGUUACUGCCUUUCUUCCUUAGUAGGUUCUGACCGAGUUUCUCCUUAGACACCCUUAAACCUGAUUCGAUUUGGUGCUGCCUCUGUUGCAUGCAAAUUGGGACCAAAACCAACAUCACUGUUCUGUUUCCUUUGUGCGCUGUUAUCUCAGUCUAGGAGGUAGGAUGUUUUUGUACCUCUUUGUCUCUCAAAGCUUCUUUCGAUUUCUAAUAUAAGUGUUUCCUUUGCCUGCAACUAAGAGGGAAAUCGUUGGAGAGUAGAAUGGGUGAGGACCUUAGCACCAAUCUUGGAGACUAUCGUAUUGAUUGUUUUUUUUUUGAACCGAUUGGGUACCUGCAAGAAGAGGUGCACGUGAACCUUAUUGUGUGGGCUGAAUUUUGGUGCUGAUUGAUUAUUAUUUGGACACGCAGGAGUACGAAAAAGAGUUUGAUGAAGUGUUUGAGUUGGAUAUGUACUGUUUAAUUGCUGCUGCUGUUUUGGGAAUUUUGAUGAUGACAUGUUGUGCAUGUUGAUUGUUGGCUGAUCACUAUAGUAGGAUGUAAUAUUUUUAGAUGCUGGAAGAAAAUCUUAGAACAUGCCAUAAAUUGUUGUAUGUGGAUCUUUAUGAUUAGUUGUAAGUUGUAAGAUUCUGCUCAUACUUUACACAUCUAUUUUAUGUACGUUUUGAAUGCUGAUUUGUAAACUGUUUUUACGAGCACUUUGCGAGUUUCGUUUCUGGGGCUACAGACCUCUGAUUUACUUAUAAUUUA